AUUGAACGCUGGCGGCAGGCCUAACACAUGCAAGUCGAGCGGAUGAAGGGAGCUUGCUCCUGGAUUCAGCGGCGGACGGGUGAGUAAUGCCUAGGAAUCUGCCUGGUAGUGGGGGAUAACGUCCGGAAACGGGCGCUAAUACCGCAUACGUCCCGAGGGAGAAAGUGGGGGAUCUUCGGACCUCACGCUAUCAGAUGAGCCUAGGUCGGAUUAGCUAGUUGGUGGGGUAAAGGCCUACCAAGGCGACGAUCCGUAACUGGUCUGAGAGGAUGAUCAGUCACACUGGAACUGAGACACGGUCCAGACUCCUACGGGAGGCAGCAGUGGGGAAUAUUGGACAAUGGGCGAAAGCCUGAUCCAGCCAUGCCGCGUGUGUGAAGAAGGUCUUCGGAUUGUAGAGCACUUUAAGUUGGGAGGAAGGGCAGUAAGUUAAUACCUUGCUGUUUUGACGUUACCAACAGAAUAAGCACCGGCUAACUUCGUG
rnacentral:rRNA from 1 species